AUUGAACGCUGGCGGCAUGCCUUACACAUGCAAGUCGAACGGCAGCACGGGAGCAAUCCUGGUGGCGAGUGGCGAACGGGUGAGUAAUAUAUCGGAACGUGCCCAGUCGUGGGGGAUAACGUAGCGAAAGCUACGCUAAUACCGCAUACGAUCUACGGAUGAAAGCGGGGGAUCGCAAGACCUCGCGCGAUUGGAGCGGCCGAUAUCAGAUUAGCUAGUUGGUGGGGUAAAAGCUCACCAAGGCGACGAUCUGUAGCUGGUCUGAGAGGACGACCAGCCACACUGGAACUGAGACACGGUCCAGACUCCUACGGGAGGCAGCAGUGGGGAAUUUGGACAAUGGGCGCAAGCCUGAUCCAGCAAUGCCGCGUGCAGGAUGAAGGCCUUCGGGUUGUAAACUGCUUUUGUACGGAACGAAACGGUGAGCUCUAAUAAAGCUUGCUAAUGACGGUACCGUAAGAAUAAGCACCGGCUAACUACGUG
rnacentral:rRNA from 1 species